rnacentral:rRNA from 1 species
UACGGAGGGUGCGAGCGUUAUCCGGAAUUACUGGGUUUAAAGGGUGCGUAGGCGGCCAUGUAAGUCAGGAGUGAAAGUUUGCGGCUCAACCGUAAAAUUGCUUUUGAUACUGCAUGGCUGGAAUCAGGAUGAGGUCAGCGGAAUGUGGCAUGUAGCGGUGAAAUGCAUAGAUAUGCCAUAGAACACCAAUUGCGAAGGCAGCUGGCUAGACCUGUAUUGACGCUGAGGCACGAAAGCGUGGGGAGCAAACAGG